rfam:Ixodes scapularis strain Wikel colony gcontig_1108379361240, whole genome shotgun sequence.
UCCUGGUUAGCUCAGUUGGUAAAGCGCUCCACUGGAAAUGGAGAGCCCCCUGGUUCGAUAACAGGACCAGGCG